UUCAUCCAUCUCUCUCUCACUUCUCCCUCGAUAUCUCUCUCAGCUCUCCUGCCCGAUCCCCUCUGUCUCCGCCGCUGGCGCCGCCGCUCGAUUCCGGCCACUGCCGGCAUGCUUCGCUGCCGUACUUGCCACCUACUGCUCCCCCUCGAGCUGAUCUACCUUCUCCACCCGCUCGAUUUGUUUAUCCUCUCUCUCGCGCGCGCGCGAGUCCCCCUCUCCCUACGCGACUCCAUGCCAUCGCCGCCGCCCACGCCGGCGGGUUCCGGCGAUUUCCACCGGGGCGCAGCAGGCUUCCGCGCUCCCCUCUCACCGGGCCUUCAUCCAGUAUGGCCAGAUCCGCCGGGCGCGGCUCCAACGUCGGCGUGGCUGAAGUAGGUCACCCAUCACGCGGACGGGUCGAAGCGCUGGAUCUCGGGACAGGGCGGCGCGGAGGCCUUCCUUCCAUAGGAUUCCGAGCUCGACGAGCCUAGCGGCUGCCGUCCUUGCCCCACUCGAGGAGGAGGGGCGCACCUAGCAGGCCGCCAAUGGCAUGUUCUACUCCUCGUCUUCCUCCACUGCCUGAACCACCACGCCUUCAACAGCGGGCUGCUGCAGCAUCGACCGGUUAUCCUUCCUUCCUCCAGUCUUUGCUUGCAGUUAGCCUUUUAGGGCCAAUCAAAUCCAAUGUGCUAGUUUAGUUUGCCACAGUUUGGUGACACUCCAAUCUGAAUAUGUCCUUGUAGCUUGGAGUGCUUUGGGUUUCAGUUAACUCGUGCGUACUUGUAUAGAACAGAAAGAAGAAGAGAUCAAUUCGGUUUCAGAGAGAGAGAGAGAGACGUGGAUGGUUCAGUCAUUUAUAUAUACAUGUAUUAUUGGGCUGCAGCAUGAAUGAAUAUGCCAUGUUCAGCUUCAAGAAUUUAUGAAUCGAACUAUUUGGUGAGCUUUAAUUAAAAGGAAGAUUUUACGAGCUCUAGACAGUAGCAAUAACUAAAAAUCAAUUUGGCCUGCAUCUAUCCUAUUUUCUAGAAACCGAGGGUUAGCUAGGUUUGAUACGUUUAUUCAUAGAAAAUGAGAGUAAUUCAGUAUAUGUUUUCCUGUUUUCAUUUCAGAGUGAUGGUAAAUUCUUAAUGUUCUUCCGUUUUGGCUUAUUCAGAGAACAUAGCUAGAUUCUUGUCUUGUGCCUUACUGAAACCCAUUUGAGGCAAUUAACCUCUUAAACUUGUUGUUUCUAAUUACUUAUAGAUAUGCAUGUAUGGUCUCUCAAACUUUUUGCUACUAAUUACUGAAUAAGUACUUUUAUUUGUAGUCCUUGGCAAUGCUUGUGAAUCUUCUGCCACGCGAGACUUUUUCUUCAUAUUAAAGUAAUAUGCCCCUCGGAGAGAUGAAAUUUAUAUCAAACGAUUCUAAUUAUUUACAAAUAAUGAACUGUUUCCACAUUUGUUCAUUACAAUAAUUAUUCUAGUUAUAUGCCCCUCGGAGAGAUGAAAGGUUAAAAGCUACUCCAUCCGUCCCAUAAUGUAGGACGUUUUUUGACACUAGACUAGUGUCAAAAAACAUCUUACAUUAUGGGACAGAGGGAGUACUGUAUAAACAAGGGAUGGAUGCCUCUGUAUUGUCUUGCCUUUUACCUUUAGGACAGGGCCAGGAGUAGUAGUAGUAGUACUAUAGCAAAUAACUAUUUGCUCCCUUAUGUUAUUAUCAAAAAAACCCACAAUUACUAAACUGGUUUGCUUGCAUUGUAGGAGUCAAAAGUCAAAAGCAUUUUAGGUAAAAUCUUCCAAAUCAGAUUCCUUUUUUCUUGACAUGUGUCUCUCAUAUGAUGCUUUCACACUGUUAUUUCGAUUGUUACGUGUUUGGAUUUCAUGCCUUAGGUGAUCUUGUUUCCAAUCUUUGGUAUGAAGCUAGCGAAGCGCUUCUAUUAUUUCUAAAGACUAGUGUGUAAGCAGUCAACACAAUUUACAUGUAAAUAUUUUGAGAUAUGGUAUCAUUUCUAGCAGCAUGUGAUUCACUUGCCAAAAAAGUACUGUACUCACAUAUGGAAUAUUUGAAAAUUGAAAACAAGCAAACAAAAUGCAGCUUAUGAUAGUCUAUUGUAAUUGAGAAUUGUUUAACUUUUGUAGGAAGCAAACAAAAGGACGACACUCACAAGGAACGAAGAAGCCAGCUAUCCUUGUCAACUUGAUGUUUUAGCUUUCAUUUUGUACAACUCAUCUCCCAUACUUACAUCUUUUAGUUGUCCAUUUGUGAACCUGAUGUAUGGUGUCUUGGUGGUUAUGUUUCUAACAAACUAAAGUGCAUAUAUGUGAUAUAAUUAGUUAAUGGAAUAAAAGCUGAUUGGUGCACAUAAUGUGAACCUGAUA